rnacentral:rRNA from 1 species
AACGAACGCUGGCGGCAUGCCUAACACAUGCAAGUCGAACGAGACCUUCGGGUCUAGUGGCGCACGGGUGCGUAACGCGUGGGAACCUGCCCUUAGGUUCGGAAUAACUCCCCGAAAGGGGUGCUAAUACCGGAUAAUGUCUUCGGACCAAAGAUUUAUCGCCUUUGGAUGGGCCCGCGUUGGAUUAGCUAGUUGGUAGGGUAAAAGCUUACCAAGGCGACGAUCCAUAGCUGGUCUGAGAGGAUGAUCAGCCACACUGGGACUGAGACACGGCCCAGACUCCGACGGGAGGCAGCAGUGGGGAAUAUUGGACAAUGGGCGAAAGCCUGAUCCAGCAAUGCCGCGUGAGUGAUGAAGGCCUUAGGGUUGUAAAGCUCUUUUACCCGGGAUGAUAAUGACAGUACCGGGAGAAUAAGCGCCGGCUAACUCCGUG